rnacentral:rRNA from 1 species
GACGAACCGUGCAAACGUUAUUCGGAAUCACUGGGCUUAAAGGGCGCGUAGGCGGGCCGCCAGGUCCGGGGUGAAAGCCUCCAGCUCAACUGGAGAAGUGCCUUGGAUACCGGCGGCCUCGAGGGAGGCAGGGGCGUGCGGAACUUCGGGUGGAGCGGUGAAAUGCGUAGAUAUCCGAAGGAACACCGGUGGCGAAAGCGGCGCGCUGGACCUCUACUGACGCUGAGGCGCGAAAGCCAGGGGAGCAAACGGG